UGGGGAAUAUUGCACAAUGGAGGGAACUCUGAUGCAGCGACGCCGCGUGAACGAGGAAGGCUUUCGAGUCGUAAAGUUCUUUUAUAUGGGAAGAUAAUGACGGUACCAUAAGAAAAAGCCCCGGCUAACUACGUGCCAGCAGCCGCGGUAAUACGUAGGGGGCUAGCGUUGUCCGGAAUCACUGGGCGUAAAGGGUUCGCAGGCGGAAAUGCAAGUCAGGUGUAAAAGGCAGUAGCUUAACUACUGUAAGCAUUUGAAACUGCAUAUCUUGAGAAGAGUAGAGGUAAGUGGAAUUUUUAGUGUAGCGGUGAAAUGCGUAGAUAUUAAAAAGAAUACCGGUGGCGAAGGCGACUUACUGGGCUCAUUCUGACGCUGAGGAACGAAAGCGUGGGUAGCAAACAGG
rnacentral:rRNA from 1 species